AUUGAACGCUGGCGGCAGGCUUAACACAUGCAAGUCGAGCGGAGAUGAGGUGCUUGCACCUUAUCUUAGCGGCGGACGGGUGAGUAAUGCUUAGGAAUCUGCCUAUUAGUGGGGGACAACAUUCCGAAAGGAAUGCUAAUACCGCAUACGUCCUACGGGAGAAAGCAGGGGAUCUUCGGACCUUGCGCUAAUAGAUGAGCCUAAGUCGGAUUAGCUAGUUGGUGGGGUAAAGGCCUACCAAGGCGACGAUCUGUAGCGGGUCUGAGAGGAUGAUCCGCCACGCUGGGACUGAGACCCGGCCCAGACUCCUACGGGAGGCAGCAGUGGGGAAUAUUAGACAAUGGGGGGAACCCUGAUCCAGCCAUGCCGCGUGUGUGAAGAAGGCCUUAUGGUUGUAAAGCACUUUAAGCGAGGAGGAGGCUACUGAGACUAAUACUCUUGGAUAGUGGACGUUACUCGCAGAAUAAGCACCGGCUAACUCUGUGCCAGCAGCCGCUGUAAAAC
rnacentral:rRNA from 1 species